rnacentral:rRNA from 1 species
GACGAACGCUGGCGGCGUGCCUAAUGCAUGCAAGUCGAGCGGGCUACAGUCUUCGGAUUGUAGCUUAGCGGCGAACGGGUGAGUAACACGUAGGUAAUCUACCCUUCAGAGGAGGACAACCUCAGGAAACUGAGGCUAAACCUUCAUACGUUCACUGGUAGGGAUACUGGUGAAGAAAGAGUUACCGUUGAGGUGGCUGCUGAAGGAUGAGCCUGCGGCCCAUCAGGUAGUUGGUGAGGUAACGGCUCACCAAGCCGAAGACGGGUAACCGGUCUGAGAGGAUGUCCGGUCACACUGGGACUGAGACACGGCCCAGACUCCUACGGGAGGCAGCAGCAGGGAAUCUUGGGCAAUGGGCGAAAGCCUGACCCAGCGACGCCGCGUGGAGGAAGAAGUCCUUCGGGGCGUAAACUCCUGGACUGGGGACGAGUAAGGACGGGUACCCAGUAGAAGGGACGGCUAACUACGUGCCAGCAGCCGCGGUAAAGUACUCCUAU